GAUGAACGCUGGCGGCGUGCCUAAUACAUGCAAGUCGAGCGAACAGACGAGGAGCUUGCUCCUCUGACGUUAGCGGCGGACGGGUGAGUAACACGUGGAUAACCUACCUAUAAGACUGGGAUAACUUCGGGAAACCGGAGCUAAUACCGGAUAAUAUAUUGAACCGCAUGGUUCAAUAGUGAAAGACGGUUUUGCUGUCACUUAUAGAUGGAUCCGCGCCGCAUUAGCUAGUUGGUAAGGUAACGGCUUACCAAGGCGACGAUGCGUAGCCGACCUGAGAGGGUGAACGGACACACGGGAACUGAGACACGGUCCAGACACCGACGGGAGGCAGCAGUAGGGAAGCUUGCGCAAUGGGCGAAAGCCUGACGGAGCAACGCCGCGUGAGUGAUGAAGGUCGUCGGAUCGUAAAACUCUGUUAUUAGGGAAGAACAAAUGUGUAAGUAACUAUGCACGUCUUGACGGUACCUAAUCAGAAAGCCACGGCUAACUACGUG
rnacentral:rRNA from 1 species